GUCUUGGUGGCGCAAUUGGUAAGCUACCCUUUACUGGAAACAUCUCAUCAAAAUCUGUUGCUAAUUCAUUCUAAAGGUUAGCGCGUACGACUGUUAAUCGUGAGGUUGAGAGUUCGAUCCUCUCCUAGGACG